rnacentral:ncRNA from 1 species
GCGGGGUAAACCCGCGGGAUGUUCCCGAGUUGGGAGAACCACAAA